rnacentral:tRNA from 1 species
AAGCCCCGGCACCCUUAUGGGGUG